CAGCACCUCAAGUGGUCAGGAUGAUUAUUGGGCCUAAAGCAUCCGUAGCCGGCGCUGUAAGUUUUCGGUUAAAUCUGUACGCUCAACGUACAGGCUGCCGGGAAUACUGCAGCGCUAGGGAGUGGGAGAGGUAGACGGUACUCGGUAGGAAGGGGUAAAAUCCUUUGAUCUAUUGAUGACCACCUGUGGCGAAGGCGGUCUACCAGAACACGUCCGACGGUGAGGGAUGAAAGCUGGGGGCACAAACCGGAUUAGAUACCCCAGUAGUCC
rnacentral:rRNA from 1 species